ACAUCGAUUUCCUAGUUGGAUAAGGUUAGGAGUCCUAACUAAUUCAGUCUUUUGAUCAGAUAUGGGCAUCCAAUCUAUUUAAGGAGGGGACCUAACUACCGGUUAGUUAUGCAAGGUUUUGUGCAACAAAACAAAAAAGACCACCAUGAAGAAAAAUAAGUAGGAGCGGAUGCUGAUUUGUUUUUGGGGUGGAGACCCCUUAGGCAUCCUUCUUGUUGGCAUGAAGGUUCCUACCCAAGAUUCCUUUCAGCUAUGAGAUAUGAUCUCACCCUCUCCUUGCUUCCCUUCUGAGGGAUCAAUACCUCAAGGAUCA
rnacentral:lncRNA from 1 species